UUCGGGUUCUUCCCUAUUCCGCCGCCGUCGCGGUUUGCUUUCUGCACAGGAAGCGGUGUAAUGAACUGGCAGGGAAACGCCGUCCUCCGUAAAUGCACACAGUAGUCCUACUUGUAAGGACUUGGAAGACUGGAAACUACUCAAAGAUGUGUUCCACUAAAAUUCAGGGAGCAAGCCAAGAAGAAAGCAGAGCUCAAUAACUAGUGCAGUUCUACAGCUGACACAGAAGCGAGGAAAGCUGAUGGAUCUUAGAAGCAUACAUUAAAAAUUGUGAAAACUCUGGUGUCCUC